rnacentral:rRNA from 1 species
AUGAACGCUAGCUACAGGCUUAACACAUGCAAGUCGAGGGGCAGCAUGAACUUAGCUUGCUAAGUUUGAUGGCGACCGGCGCACGGGUGAGUAACACGUAUCCAACCUGCCGAUGACUCGGGGAUAGCCUUUCGAAAGAAAGAUUAAUACCCGAUGGCAUAGUUCUUCCGCAUGGUAGAACUAUUAAAGAAUUUCGGUCAUCGAUGGGGAUGCGUUCCAUUAGGUUGUUGGCGGGGUAACGGCCCACCAAGCCUUCGAUGGAUAGGGGUUCUGAGAGGAAGGUCCCCCACAUUGGAACUGAGACACGGUCCAAACUCCUACGGGAGGCAGCAGUGAGGAAUAUUGGUCAAUGGACGAGAGUCUGAACCAGCCAAGUAGCGUGAAGGAUGACUGCCCUAUGGGUUGUAAACUUCUUUUAUACGGGAAUAAAGUGAGGCACGUGUGCCUUUUUGUAUGUACCGUAUGAAUAAGGAUCGGCUAACUCCGUGCCAGCAGCCGCGGUAAUACGGAGGAUCCGAGCGUUAUCCGGAUUUAUUGGGUUUAAAGGGAGCGUAGGCGGACGCUUAAGUCAGUUGUGAAAGUUUGCGGCUCAACCGUAAAAUUGCAGUUGAUACUGGGUGUCUUGAGUACAGUAGAGGCAGGCGGAAUUCGUGGUGUAGCGGUGAAAUGCUUAGAUAUCACGAAGAACUCCGAUUGCGAAGGCAGCUUGCUGGACUGUAACUGACGCUGAUGCUCGAAAGUGUGGGUAUCAAACAGGAUUAGAUACCCUGGUAGUCCACACAGUAAACGAUGAAUACUCGCUGUUUGCGAUAUACAGUAAGCGGCCAAGCGAAAGCGUUAAGUAUUCCACCUGGGGAGUACGCCGGCAACGGUGAAACUCAAAGGAAUUGACGGGGGCCCGCACAAGCGGAGGAACAUGUGGUUUAAUUCGAUGAUACGCGAGGAACCUUACCCGGGCUUGAAUUGCAACUGAAUGAUGUGGAGACAUGUCAGCCGCAAGGCAGUUGUGAAGGUGCUGCAUGGUUGUCGUCAGCUCGUGUCGUGAGAUGUUGGGUUAAGUCCCGCAACGAGCGCAACCCUUAUUGCCAGUUACUACGCAAGAGGACUCUGGCCAGACUGCCGUUGACAAAACGGAGGAAGGUGGGGAUGACGUCAAAUCAGCACGGCCCUUACGUCCGGGGCUACACACGUGUUACAAUGGGGGGUACAGAAGGCAGCUACACGGCGACGUGAUGCUAAUCCCUAAAGCCUCUCUCAGUUCGGAUUGGAGUCUGCAACCCGACUCCAUGAAGCUGGAUUCGCUAGUAAUCGCGCAUCAGCCACGGCGCGGUGAAUACGUUCCCGGGCCUUGUACACACCGCCCGUCAAGCCAUGAAAGCCGGGGGUACCUGAAGUGCGUAACCGCAAGGAGCGCCCUAGGGUAAAACUGGUGAUUGGGGCU